UGUGCACUCUGAACCUUUGGAUUUGCAUAGCUUUCUGACUCCAGGAAGCCAGGAUUUUAGCAAUGCCCGCACCAUCUGUCUUUUGUCUGCUGAGGAAUUUAUCCCUGUUUUCAGACGCCAGCAGGGAAACCGGGUCUGUUUAGCAUUCUCACCUAGUUACAGUCAGUACGCCGUGUGCUGCUACUGGAAAUAAAUGCGUGCGUCUUGCCUGGACUUAAGAGAAGAACUUUAAAGUCAGCAUCAUAUCUUAAAGUGAUGAUCUCAAUGGAUCAAAGGUGAAGGAGGAUGCGACCAGUGCAUAAUGAAAAGACAGGCACAUACAUAUGGCCGCCUUUCUGCUGCAAGCCCUUACGUCACUCCACUGUCUACUCCUCCUACUGAUAAAUUGUAAGGCAGUAUCUGGGGAUCAAGUUGAGACCGAGAGACAUCAAAGGAGAGUGAUCUCAGAAAUUUAGAAUGGAUGGGAAGCCUAACUUGGAGAAUAAUCCUUUGGAAAGCAAUCUCUGCUGCAAGGAGAACACUGCAAACCAAAAGCAGAACCUUGAGGAUGAGGUGAUGCUUAAAUAUGAAUUGCCUCUAUAAUCUUAUGAAACCUCAGGUCAUGAUUUGAAACAGCUAAAAGGAUGAUUCACAGCAUUUGGCAUAAAUAUAUCCAUGUGCCUAAGAUAAGGCACGUGAUUACAUGCUGUUACACCACAAACUAUAUUAUUAAUUUGAGCUUCCCCUUGCCAAUUAGAAAUCCAGAAGAAAAAAAAAAAAAAAAAAGGAAUUGUCUCCAAAGAGUUCAAUUUGCUGUGAAACAAAAAACCCUAACAUAAAUGGCUCUGUUACUUCAGAAGGAAAUUAGUCUACCUAGACUACAAUAAAAAUAAAUGUUGCCACUGAAA